CUACCAUUGAGACAGUAGCUCCUCAUUGGUCAUUGCCAGGCUCUCUUUUCGAUCUUUAUGGCAGUUUCCACAACAGCAAACACUGCAAGCUUGACUCACUGAUUUUGUCUCCAAUGAAGCUAAGAGUGGGAGUGUUCUUACCAAGGCCUUUGUUGGAGGCGUCCCCUGUGAUAUAGUGGACGACAACCUGGAGCUCUGUGACACGCUGACAAGGGAGAAGGUUACUUGUCGCUCCAAGGGUAAGCUGGUCGGCCCCAUGAAUGCCACUGUCUGCGUUACUGGAAGAGGCGCGUCUGAAGUGACCAAGAUAGGAAUGUACGUGGACUCCCAGGACAGGCUGUACCAGUUCCUCACAUAUGCUGCUUGACACAGACGAGUGCAGCAAUGGUCCUGCAGCAGCCCAGCAUAGUGCAGGCCAGACAGCCCACUGCCAUCACUGUUCACUUUGUUGACAAGGGCUCUGGCUUGGUGCUUAAUGGCCUGGCUUUCAAGGGCCAGACAUUUGUGGGCAAACUGCUGGCAAAGACUGCUGAGGGACACUUUGAGGUUAUCCAGAGCAGCACAAGGAUGGCCAAGGAAAUCCUUCUCAAAUACCCAGAGAUCCUCCAUGCCGCUCACCCCUUCUUCCUCUCCCUCAAGUUUGUGGGUGCUGGUGGCUCUCUCCUGGAUGGAGCAGUUUUUGUGGAUCAAAAGAUAUUGAUUGAGAUACUGGGGAGGGAUGUGAGUGCAUGCCCAAGGAGAAGGCCCAGAUCUUUAAGAGGAUCUAUUUACCCAAGAACAACUUGUCAACAAUUCCUGUAGAUGUCAUCAUCAGUGAGGUCAGUGUUAGAUACCAACUUGCUGCUCAGGAGUCUGUUGUACCUGCUGGCUGGCAUUUCCACUUUGUCUCUCCUGGUAACCAAUUCUGUAUGUGCUUGGUGGUGUUUCCUGAAAAUUUGGAUAUCCAGGAGAACUCUGUCACCAAGAACGUGCAAAUGAAUGUCAUUGGGUGGCUGACGGCAGCUCCUCAAGUGAACCCAGAGUGGGAAAAGGAAGACUGCUGGACCAUACCACAAGUUAUAACAACAAAAAAAGGUUCAAACUUUACUCUGCUGCAUGGACUGUAUCAGCUUGUAUUCAGGCAGGUCAAGUUGGGCGAUACAAGUGUGUGCUGGAAGGAAGCUGUCAUCUGCUGGCUUUUGGAUUAUCAACUUGGAAGCCUGGGUGUGUGUGUGUGUGUGUGUGUGUGUGUGUGUGUGUGUGUGUGUGUGUGUGUGUGUGUGUGUGUGUGUGUGUGUGUGUGUGUGUGUCUAAGAGAAUCAGUUUGAGUGAGUAGUGGGAGGGAGUUUUUGAGUAUGUGAGUAAAAGAAGGGGUUUUGUUGAGAGAGAGAGAGAGAGAGAGAGAGAGAGAGAGAGAGAGAGAGAGAGAGAGAGUUUUGUGUGUGUGUAGGAGAGAGAAUACAAGAAAUUAUUUCUAUUAAAUUUAUUACUAUUAUUCUAAAUUUAUUCAUAUUUCAGAGGAAUGACUGACAGAAGAGACAAAGGAAGAAAAGAGGAGGAAGAAUAUAAGAAAGGAAGGAAGGAAGAGAAGAGGGGGACAUGAGAAGGAUGAGAUAAAGGAGAGAGAGAGAGAGAGAGAGAGAGAGAGAGAGAGAGAGAGAGAGAGAGAGAGAGAGAGAGAGAGAGAGAGAGAGAGAGAGAGAAUGUUACUGAUUGAGAAUUAAUUAUCAUUAUUAUUAUUAUGUUCAAAAUGUAUUAUUUAUAUUUUCAUUGUUUUUUUUUCAGAAGUGAUAGAAAGAAGGAAGAGAAGAGAAGACAGAUGAUAAUAAGGAGGGAAGAAAGAGAAGGAGAGAGAAGACAACAAAGAAGGAAGAGGACAUGAGAGAAGAAUGAGGAUAAUAGAAGAGGAAGAAAUAAAAGAAGAAAUGAGAGAAAGAUAGAUAAAAGAAAAUUAAAUUCUCCCCCCUGCCCCCCUUCUCUCUCUCUCUCUCUCUCUCUCUCUCUCUCUCUCUCUCUCUCUCUCUCUCUCUCUCUCUCUCUCUCUCUCUCUCUCUCUCUCUCUCUCCAUGCCUAGGAGAGGAACCUGAUCAGUCCCUGUGAGAAAUUUUGCAACAUUUUCUGUUUAAGCAAGAGUUCAUGAAUAUUUCCCAAAAAGUGCAGGUGACCCCUGACCUGACAUACCAGCAUGCACAUCACUGUUGUGUUGCCAGGUUUUGCUGGACGCAUCAUUCCUGAUUCCUGUCAGUUCAUUUUGGCCUAAAACCUUCAUCCUUUGCUUCCUGUAUACAUUUGUGAAAUUGUUGCAAAGGAGGGAGAGUUUUUGUUGCAACAUGAAUUCCAAAUCAGA